rfam:Dipodomys ordii contig_61955, whole genome shotgun sequence.
GGGAAGGUAGCUCAGUGGUAGAGUACUUGCCUUGCAUGCAUGAGGCCCUGGGUUCGAUUCCUCAGCACCA